GGAUCCAGUAGAAAGCGAGUAGGCAAAAUAGAAUAGUAAGGAUGAAUAUAGUUGCAGAACAAAGAACUUGAAGAUUAUCAAAAAAGAAGGAUUGUUCAAGAAGCAUGGCUAGGAAUUCCAUUCAUGUGGUCAACCAUUAAGGAAAGCUAAACACCAUUGCCUAUGAAUGCUCUGCAAACGCUAAUCAAAAUCAAUUGUCUGAUGCUAAAUGGAAUGCAAGCUUAACAAUAUGUAGACCUGAUAAUUUACCAAGUAUUAUUUUGGAGGGAGAAGAUGCGUGAUCAAUUAUGGAAAGUGUUACUUCUAGAGGAUACGUCGCAUCAAUAAUUGAUCAAAGUAUAAUUUGUUUCUUGGAAAUAAAUGCUUGGUUCAACCAUUUUAUAAUGUUCAUUAAUAUUGGAUUUUCUUAAUGUGCAAAAGGGACACAAUUCAAGAGCCAGAUUUUAUUGCAAACUUGGCUGGUUGGCAAUUGUUUAGUCAAGAAGGCUCCAGCACUUUUGGCUAUAAAAAAUCAAGGUUUUUUUUUAUAAUGUCGAGCUUUUUGCUGUGAUACUGUCCAAUGCUAGGACAUUAUGGAAAAAAGAAGUUAUCAUCUUUUUUAAAGGAAACUUUAGGGACCCAUUAAAUCUUGCAUCACCUGAAUAUGAAUGCCAGUAUUGUGGAGCUUUAUUUUGGUAUGAACAAGGUAU
rnacentral:lncRNA from 1 species